rnacentral:rRNA from 11 species
CCAGCUCUAAUAGCGUAUAUUAAAGUUGUUGCAGUUAAAAAGCUCGUAGUCGGAAGCCAGGC